AGAGUUUGAUCAUGGCUCAGAACGUACGCUGGCGGCACGCUUAACACAUGCAAGUCGAACGAAGUAGCAAUACUUAGUGGCGAACGGGUGAGUAUAAUGUGGGAAUCUGCCUUUUGGUUUGGAAUAACACGAGGAAACUUGUGCUAAUACCGGAUAAGCCCUUACGGGGAAAGUUUUAACGCCAAAAGAUGAGCCUGCACUUGAUUAGCUUGUUGGUAAGGUAAAAGCUUACCAAGGCUACGAUCAAUAGCUGAUCUGAGAGGAUGAUCAGCCACAUUGGGACUGAGACACGGCCCAAACUCCUACGGGAGGCAGCAGUGGGGAAUCUUGCACAAUGGGGGAAACCCUGAUGCAGCGAUGCCGCGUGAGUGAAGAAGGCCUUUGGGUUGUAAAGCUCUUUCGUCGGGGAAGAAAAUGACUGUACCCGAAUAAGAAGGUCCGGCUAACUUCGUGCCAGCAGCCGCGGUAAUACGAAGGGACCUAGCGUAGUUCGGAAUUACUGGGCUUAAAGAGCACGUAGGUGGUUAAGAAAGUUGGUGGUGAAAUCCCAAGGCUUAACCUUGGAACUGCCACCAAAACUUUUUAACUAGAGUAUGAUUGAGGUAAGCGGAAUUUCUAGUGUAGAGGUGAAAUUCGUAGAUAUUAGAAAGAACACCAAUUGCGAAGGCAGCUUUCUGGAUCAUUACUGACACUGAGGUGCGAAAGCAUGGGUAGCGAAGAGGAUUAGAUACCCUCGUAGUCCAUGCCGUAAACGAUGUGUGUUAGACGUUGGAAAUUUAUUUUCAGUGUCGCAGCAAAAGCGAUAAACACACCGCCUGGGGAGUACGACCGCAAGGUUAAAACUCAAAUGAAUUGACGGGGACCCGCACAAGCAGUGGAGCAUGUGGUUUAAUUCGAAGAUACGCGCAGAACCUUACCAACACUUGACAUGUUCGUCGCGACUCUAAGAGAUUAGAGUUUUCGGUUCGGCCGGACGAAACACAGGUGCUGCAUGGCUGUCGUCAGAUCGUGUCGUGAGAUGUUGGGUUAAGUCCCGCAACGAGCGCAACCCUUACUUUUAGUUGCUACCAUUAAGUUGGGCACUCUAAAAGAACUGCCGGUGAUAAGCUGGAGGAAGGUGGGGAUGACGUCAAGUCCUCAUGGCCCUUACGUGUUGGGCUACACACGUGCUACAAUGGCAUUUACAGUGAGAAGCAAAGAUGCGAGUCUAAGCCAAUCCCUAAAAAAUGCCUCAGUUCGGAUUGUACUCUGCAACUCGAGUACAUGAAGCUGGAAUUACUAGUAAUCGCGGAUCAGCGUGCCGCGGUGAAUGCGUUCCCGGGUCUUGUACACACCGCCCGUCACACCAUGGGAGUUGGUUCUACCUUAAGGCAAAGUUUUAAAACUUUGACCACGGUAUAGUCGGCGACUGGGGUGAAGUCGUAACAAGGUAGCCG
rnacentral:rRNA from 1 species